rnacentral:rRNA from 3 species
UCGCCGCCCGUGACUCUGCGAGAAGUCCAUUGAACCUUAUCAUUUAGAGGAAGGAGAAGUCGUAACAAGGUUUCCGUAGGUGAACCUGCGGAAGGAUCAUUG